AGUGAACGCUGGCGGCAGGCCUAACACAUGCAAGUCGAGCGGCAGCGGGUCCUUCGGGAUGCCGGCGAGCGGCGGACGGGUGAGGAAUGCGUCGGAAUCUGCCUUUUUGUGGGGGAUAACGUAGGGAAACUUACGCUAAUACCGCAUACGACCUACGGGUGAAAGUGGGGGACCGCAAGGCCUCACGCAGAAAGAUGAGCCGACGUCGGAUUAGCUAGUUGGCGGGGUAAAGGCCCACCAAGGCGACGAUCCGUAGCUGGUCUGAGAGGAUGAUCAGCCACACUGGAACUGAGACACGGUCCAGACUCCUACGGGAGGCAGAAGUGGGGAAUAUGGGACAAUGGGCGCAAGCCUGAUCCAGCCAUGCCGCGUGUGUGAAGAAGGCCUUCGGGUUGUAAAGCACUUUUGUCCGGAAAGAAAUCCUGUCGGCUAAUACCCGGCGGGGAUGACGGGACCGGAAGAAUAAGCACCGGCUAACUUCG
rnacentral:rRNA from 1 species